GACGAACGCUGGCGGCGUGCUUAACACAUGCAAGUCGAACGGAAAGGCCCUGCUUUUGUGGGGUGCUCGAGUGGCGAACGGGUGAGUAACACGUGAGUAACCUGCCCUUGACUUUGGGAUAACUUCAGGAAACUGGGGCUAAUACCGGAUAGGAGCUCCUGCUGCAUUGUGGGGGUUGGAAAGUUUCGGCGGUUGGGGAUGGACUCGCGGCUUAUCAGCUUGUUGGUGGGGUAGUGGCUUACCAAGGCUUUGACGGGUAGCCGGCCUGAGAGGGUGACCGGCCACAUUGGGACUGAGAUACGGCCCAGACUCCUACGGGAGGCAGCAGUGGGGAAUAUUGCACAAUGGGCGGAAGCCUGGUGCAGCAACGCCGCGUGCGGGAUGACGGCCUUCGGGUUGUAAACCGCUUUCGCCUGUGACGAAGCGUGAGUGACGGUAAUGGGUAAAGAAGCACCGGCUAACUACGUG
rnacentral:rRNA from 1 species